UUGUCAUAGAAACGCACAUUGUUAUAGUCAUUUCACCAUAAUAUUGCAUAUACCAUAUAUUGUAUUGUUGACAAAGCAACACUAUCAACUGAACUCCACUGCAGUCCACUCAGAAUCGUUUUUUCGGAAGCAAUAAUUUAUCGUUGCUUACAGAUGUACAUUAAAUUUCCGACUGUAACCUACCUCCCUAACUUCCCACCUACAACAGUGGCUGCACCCACGUGCUAAGUAUAACAAUGUUUUUUUUUUUUUUAAUUUUCCUCGAUUAUACAUACUAUAUCGUGUAUUAAUGCCUGUACAAUUUUGAAAUUUAUCGAAACAUUUUACUUAUUCUGGAACUCACGUCGUAUGCUAUCUACACAAACGUUGAUCGCGUUGUAUGUGUUAUCUACGUCUCGGUCGAUAAAUGUGGGUUGGAUAUUGACGAUGUACUCUUUUGAUGUCUCGUAGUAGGUAGGUAUAAUUAUGUAUAUGGUAGUAUGAUAUCGGCCAAACCCGAUUUCUGGAUUAAAUAGUUAUUCUUUACAUCAGAUGUGUUUAACCUUUAAAACACUAGUUUACAUGUAUAUAAAUUGUACGGUCUAACACUCUAACCAGAAACCGAUAGAGAAAAUUAAAUCUACUCCAAUGGGGGUUUUUUUUUUUUUUGGAACACUUUGUUUUAA